rnacentral:rRNA from 1 species
UACGGGGGGGGGCAAGCGUUGUUCGGAAUUACUGGGCGUAAAGGGCUCGUAGGCGGCCAACUAAGUCGGACGUGAAAUCCCCAGGCUCAACCUGGGAACUGCGUCCGAUACUGGAUGGCUUGAAUCCGGGAGAGGGAUGCAGAAUUCCAGGUGUAGCGGUGAAAUGCGUAGAUAUCUGGAGGAAUACCGAUGGCGAAGGCAGCCCCCUGGGCUAGCACUGACGCUCAGGAGCGAAAGCGUGGGGAGCGAACAGG